UUAACAACUCUGUUAGACUGACUGAACACGUGCUACCCCAGGAGAAGCUCCACGAUGAGUUAGCCUGAGAGCACAGAUGGAGGAAAGUUUAAGUUCCACUCUACCUGUCUUCAAGAGAAAAAAUUAUGUUAUUCCA